GACGAACGCUGGCGGCGUGCUUAACACAUGCAAGUCGAACGGAAAGGCCCUGCUUUUGUGGGGUGCUCGAGUGGCGAACGGGUGAGUAACACGUGAGUAACCUGCCCUUGACUUUGGGAUAAAUUCAGGAAACUGGGGCUAAUACCGGAUAGGAGCUCCUGCUGCAUGGUGGGGGUUGGAAAGUUUCGGCGGUUGGGGAUGGACUCGCGGCUUAUCAGCUUGUUGGUGGGGUAGUGGCUUACCAAGGCUUUGACGGGUAGCCGGCCUGAGAGGGUGACCGGCCACAUUGGGACUGAGAUACGGCCCAGACUCCUACGGGAGGCAGCAGUGGGGAAUAUUGCACAAUGGGCGGAAGCCUGAUGCAGCAACGCCGCGUGCGUGAUGACGGCCUUCGGGUUGUAAACCGCUUUCGCCUGUGGCGAAGCGUGAGUGACGGUAAUGGGUAAAGAAGCACCGGCUAACUACGUG
rnacentral:rRNA from 1 species